CAGAGUACUGGAUUCUGGGUCCAGGAGUUCCUCAGUGUCACGCUGCCACAGGAGCAUCUCCAAGGAGUCAAUGGACCCAGCCGAGAAAGGGCAGCGCCACUCCGUGAGACACAGCGGGAAGGGGUUGCAGUCAGGCCCUCCUGGCCGGGGCCGCCUCAGAGUCAGACCCCGGCCAGGCCCAGCCCUGUGGGAUAGCUGGCCUGGUGGAUGGUGCUGGAGAUGAUGCUGAAGAUGGUGCGGAUGGUGAUGCUGGCCUUCCCUGGUGGAGAGAACACAGCCGGAGCCUUUCAGGGACGGGACCAGAGCCACCUGUGGUCCACACAGGGUGACAGAGGGAAGGGGCUCCUCUCACCAGAACCAUGGAUUUGGAUGUCUCGUCUGUCAGGGUUGGCACUGGGGGCGGACCCAUAGGAACGGCACGGUAGGACCAGGUGGCAUCAGGGCCGGGGUCUCCAUCUGUCUCCCAACCCCCACCAGCAGCAAAAGCCCUGGCCACCUCUUUUCCGUGGACUUCGUCCUCAAGUCAGCACACUCCUGCUGUGGCCAGAUGAGAGGCACGGAGUCGCCCACGGCCCGGGACUUGAACCUGCGCUGGAGGGGGAGUGGGCAGUAGGAGCAGUCAGGGAGGUGCAGCCUGGUGCUCACCCCAGCCCCACCCUGGCCACCCGCCCACCUCACCUUGGCCUUCCUCGGCUUCUGUACAGUGGGGCUCUUACGAGGAAAGGUGGGCUCCUCCGUGGUAGCUAACAGAGGGGAGAGAGGAGGGACAGGGACUGCAGGAGGAGGACAUGCGGGCUACCUCACAGGACAGGGAGGGAACCCCAGUGUUGGAGCUCUGCCCACGCCCUAAGGGGGGGCCCUGCCCCAGGAGGGCCUGAUGGGGCAAACCCGCUCACCUGUCUGGCUGCCGUGGGCCAGGUCCUGUGGACAGGCAGGGGCAGUCAGGAGGGCCAUCCCCAUCACCGACAGGAGCAGGCGUCACCCAGCCUUCCUCCUUCAGGCUCAGGGGUCCAGGACCUCUGCCCCUUUCCUGAGGCCAUGUCCUUGGCCUGAGUCCCAGUUCCCUAUGGCUUCCUAGCCCUGCUGCCCCAAGGUCUUUGUGCUAGGGUCCCACCUGCAGGCGCCAGGUGGAGGGAGGCACGUCGGCCAGGGGCGCAUCAUGGCCAGACCGGUGCAGGGGCCAAGAGGCCCAGGCGGUUGCCAGCUCCUGGAGCAGCUGCGUGACCUUGAGCAACAAAAACACGACCCGUUUCCCUUGUCUGUAAAAUGGACAUAUUUGAGGCCCCAAGGAAAUCCUACAGUGUCUCGAAGACUUGUGACAAUCCUCCCGCCUCAGCCUCCUGAAUGCUGGAAUUGCAGCCCUCAGACAGCCAUUAUCACCAUGUUGGUGUAUUUCCCUCUGGGACUUAAAAAUCUGUACACAUAGAGAAGCCCCAAAUCGGGAUGACGAGGCAGCUGUGCAGCCUGCUGUCUGCCGCGCCCGCCUGGACAGUGCGCCAUGGCUGUCCUCUAGCGAGGAGGAACUUCGUUAUGGAGCUGUCCCCACCG